rnacentral:snRNA from 1 species
GAAUGUGAGGGCGAUCUGGCUGCGACAUCUGUCACCCCAUUGAUCAUCAGGGAUGAUUUGGCUGAUCUGGCUGGGGAGGUGGAUGUCCCCUAUCUUCCUCACCACUUUGUGUGCUUCCUUCCCAAAGCUGCAUGCUCAGUCUAAGACAACGACCUUCCCUAAUAAAAGAGUACCGUUUUGNUGGUCAAAAGUAUAUCAGUAGCUGUGCUCACCUGCUCACAACCUCCAAACAAACUCUCAAGAUCCAUUUGUAGGAGAAGGUAAGGUGGUCAAACUUCCAUAAAUUUAAAACAAACAGACGAACAAAAAAUGGUAUGUGAUCAAAUAAUGC